AAUGAACGUUGGCGGCGUGGAUUAGGCAUGCAAGUCGAGCGAGAAGCUUCCUGCUUGCAGGAAGUGGAAAGCGGCGCAAGGGAGAGUAACGCGUAGUUAUCUACCCCAGGGUCCGGAAUAGCGGUGGGAAACUGCCGGUAAUGCCGGAUAAUAUCUCAGGAUCAAAGGUGUGAUUCCGCCCUGGGAGGGGACUGCGUCCUAUUAGCUUGUUGGUGGGGUAAUGGCCUACCAAGGCAACGAUGGGUACCGGGCGUGAGAGCGUGGCCCGGCUCACUGGGACUGAGACACUGCCCAGACACCUACGGGUGGCUGCAGUCGAGAAUCUUCGGCAAUGGACGAAAGUCUGACCGAGCGACGCCGCGUGUGGGAUGAAGGCCUUCGGGUUGUAAACCGCUGUCAGAGGGGAGGAAAUUCUUGAGGGUUAUCCCUCUUGAUUGACCUAUCCUCAGAGGAAGUACGGACUAAGUACGUG
rnacentral:rRNA from 1 species